rnacentral:rRNA from 1 species
GAUGGACGCUGGCGGCGUGCUUAACACAUGCAAGUCGAACGGGAAUUACUUUAUUGAAACUUCGGUCGAUCUAAUUUAAUUCUAGUGGCGGACGGGUGAGUAACGCGUGGGUAACCUGCCUUGUACAGGGGGAUAACAGUCAGAAAUGACUGCUAAUACCGCAUAAGCGCACAGAGCUGCAUGGCUCGGUGUGAAAAACUCCGGUGGUAUAAGAUGGACCCGCGUUAGAUUAGCUAGUUGGUGAGGUAACGGCCCACCAAGGCGACGAUCCAUAGCCGGCCUGAGAGGGUGAACGGCCACAUUGGGACUGAGACACGGCCCAGACUCCUACGGGAGGCAGCAGUGGGGAAUAUUGCACAAUGGGGGAAACCCUGAUGCAGCGACGCCGCGUGAAGGAAGAAGUAUCUCGGUAUGUAAACUUCUAUCAGCAGGGAAGAGAUUGACGGUACCUGACUAAGAAGCCCCGGCUAACUACGUGCCAGCCGCCGCAGUAA